CUGACAUGGAUAAUUGAUUACAUGGUUGACUGUCCAACUGACGGCUGAAUGAAAACAGUCGCCAAAGCCAUGAGCCGACAGACAAUAUGGGGCUGCAGCUUUCGGUUUCUCCACUAACGGAACAUGUCUGGCCUGAUUUGAAGCUGCUACAUCUACUUUGAAAGAAGCCACAUAACCUUUGCUGCUACUUCAUUUCAAGUUUUCCUUUGAAUUUUCUAUUUCCUGAGCUGGGAGAAAUGAGAGGAUGCACCCUCUCCCUUUCUAACAGGUUAGACCAGGCAGAGGCCUAAAAAUGGCGUCUCCGGGUUUUAUCAAAG
rnacentral:lncRNA from 1 species